AAAAUUUCUUCCAUGGGACGCCUGCAAGGGUCAAUUGACUCAAUUCAUCACAUAAGAAAGAGAUAAGGACACUUAUAAAGUCACAAAUAUAUUGUAGACAUGACAAUAACUUCAUCUAAAUAAGUUUUAAAAAAAUUGCAAGGACAAACCCAUGCAUCAGCAAUCCAGAACCCAACAAGAGUUUAUACUAAGGGGAUGUCUGCUAUGAGGUUAACAAAGGGUAAUUAUUAACCUUGUAACAUUCAACCAUCAUUAAUGUUGUUUGGAUGCUUAAAAAGAAAAUUCGUUAACUUUUCACCUCAUUAAUAU
rnacentral:misc_RNA from 1 species